UACGUAGGCGGAAGAUUAAGUCAGUGGUGAAAUCCUGCAGCUUAACUGUAGAACUGUCAUUGAUACUGGUUUUCUUGAAUUUAGUUGAGGUAGGCGGAAUGUGUAAUGUAGCGGUGAAAUGCUUAGAUAUUACACAGAACACCGAUUGCGAAGGCAGCUUACUAAACUAUGAUUGACGCUGAGGCACGAAAGCGUGGGGAGCGAACAGGAUUAGAUACCCUGGUAGUCC
rnacentral:rRNA from 1 species